rnacentral:rRNA from 1 species
ACACAGCUAACGCGUGAAGUAGACCGCCUGGGGAGUACGGUCGCAAGAUUAANACUCAAAGGAAUUGACGGGGACCCGCACAAGCGGUGGAUGAUGUGGAUUAAUUCGAUGCAACGCGAAAAACCUUACCUACCCUUGACAUGGCUGGAAUCCUUGAGAGAUCAGGGAGUGCUCGAAAGAGAACCAGUACACAGGUGCUGCAUGGCUGUCGUCAGCUCGUGUCGUGAGAUGUUGGGUUAAGUCCCGCAACGAGCGCAACCCUUGUCAUUAGUUGCUACGAAAGGGCACUCUAAUGAGACUGCCGGUGACAAACCGGAGGAAGGUGGGGAUUGACGUCAAGUCCUCAUGGCCCUUA